CACGUAGGGGACGAGCGUUGUCCGGAUUCAUUGGGCGUAAAGCGCGCGUAGGCGGCUCGGAAAGUCGGGCGUGAAAUGCCGGGGCUCAACCCUUGAAUGCCGGCCGAUACUGUCAGGCUAGAGUCCGGAAGAGGCGAGUGGAAUUCCUGGUGUAGCGGUGAAAUGCGCAGAUAUCAGGAGGAACACCUAUGGCGAAGGCAGCUCGCUGGGACGGUACUGACGCUGAGACGCGAAAGCGUGGGGAGCGAACAGG
rnacentral:rRNA from 1 species